ACUAGAGUGAUAUCGGGGGUUACUGGAAUUUGUAGUGUAGGGGUUAAAUCCGUGGAUACUACAAAGAACACCAAGCGCGAAGGCGGGUAACCAGGUAUUUACUGACACUCAGAGACGAAAGCUAGGGCAGCCAAUCAGAUUAGAGACCUGAGUAGUCCUAGCUGUAAACUAUGUAUGUUAAUUCUCUGCGAUUUAUCGUGGGGGAUGUAAGCUAACGCGUUAAACAUACCGCCGGGGGAGUAUAGCCGCAAGGCCGAAACUCAAACGAAUGGGGGGGGGGGGGCACAACCAGUGGAGCAUGUGGUUCAAUUCGAUAGGAAGCGAUGAACCUUACCGGGGUUUGACAUGUAUCUGCAAACCCCCAGAAACGGGGGAAUCCUUAGAGGGUGAUACACAGCUGUUGCAUGGCUGUCGUCAGCUCGUGACGUGAGUUGUUCUCUUAAGUGAGUAACGAGCGCAACCCCCAUCCGGUGUUAUUGUGUCACCGGGACUGCCUAGCAUUAUUUUGUUAGGAGGAAGGAGGGGAUGACGUCAAGUCAUCAUGAUGCUUAUGUCCAGGGCUACACACAUCCUACAAUGGGGAGUACAAUGGGUCGCGAAACCGCGAGGUGGAGCCAAUCCCACAAAACUUCCCUCAGUUGGGAUUGCAGGCUGAAACUCGCCUGCAUGAACCCGGAAUUGGUAGUAAUCGCGCAUCAGCAGCGCGCGGUGAAUACGUUCUCGCCUCUUGCACACACUGCCCGUCAAAUCAGCAAAGUUGAGGGCACCUGAAGCUUCAGAAUUUCUGGAAUCAAGGUGAAUUCAGCGAUGAGGGUUAAGUCGUAACAAGGUA
rnacentral:rRNA from 1 species